rfam:Gossypium hirsutum cultivar TM-1 chromosome 4, whole genome shotgun sequence
AUACCAUGAUGAAGGCACUUUCAUAAUAAUUCCUUAAAUAGUUCUCAUGCCUCAUACAAGGACUCAUCAUCAAAUUGUUAAAAAGUAGUAAUUUCAUUUCUGAGCUU